UACAGAGGUCUCAAGCGUUGUUCGGAUUCAUUGGGCGUAAAGGGCGUGUAGGCGGUCCGCUAAGUCUGAUGUGAAAGCCCGGGGCUCACCCCCGGAAGGGCAUUGGAAACUGACGGACUCGAGUCCCGAAGAGGAGGGUGGAAUUCCUGGUGUAGCGGUGAAAUGCGUAGAUAUCAGGAGGAAUACCGGUGGCGAAGGCGGCCCUCUGGACGGUGACUGACGCUGAGACGCGAAAGCGUGGGGAGCAAACAGG
rnacentral:rRNA from 1 species